UAGGAUAUAGUUUAAUGGUAAAAUUUUUACUUUGGGAGUAAGAGAUAGUGGUUCGAUUCCGCUUAUCCGUAA